AUUGAACGCUGGCGGCAUGCCUUACACAUGCAAGUCGAACGGCAGCACGGGUGCUUGCACCUGGUGGCGAGCGGCGAACGGGUGAGUAAUAUAUCGGAACGUACCUUAUUGUGGGGGAUAACGCAGCGAAAGCUGUGCUAAUACCGCAUAAUCCCUAAGGGGGAAAGCGGGGGACCGUAAGGCCUCGCGCAAAUAGAGCGGCCGAUACCUGAUUAGCUAGUUGGUGAGGUAAAGGCUCACCAAGGCAACGAUCAGUAGCUGGUCUGAGAGGACGAUCAGCCACACUGGGACUGAGACACGGCCCAGACUCCUACGGGAGGCAGCAGUGGGGAAUUUUGGACAAUGGGGGCAACCCUGAUCCAGCAAUGCCGCGUGAGUGAAGAAGGCCUUCGGGUUGUAAAGCUCUUUUGUCAGGGAAGAAACAGCAGCUCUAACACAGUAUGCGAAUGACGGUACCCGAAGAAUAAGCACCGGCUAACUACGUGCCAGCAGCCGCGGUAA
rnacentral:rRNA from 1 species